UACAGGGGGGGCAAGCGUUGUUCGGAAUUACUGGGCGUAAAGGGCUCGUAGGUGGCCAACUAAGUCAGACGUGAAAUCCCUCAGCUUAACUGGGGAACUGCGUCUGAUACUGGAUGGCUUGAGUUUGGGAGAGGGAUGCGGAAUUCCAGGUGUAGCGGUGAAAUGCGUAGAUAUCUGGAGGAACACCGGUGGCGAAGGCGGCGUCCUGGACCAACACUGACACUGAGGAGCGAAAGCCAGGGGAGCAAACGGG
rnacentral:rRNA from 1 species